AAACGAAAACUGGGGGUUGAAGUAGCUGCUAAAUGUCACCUCUAGGAAAUGGUUUGCUUUUCUCAGGAGCCUUUUUGCUUAUGCUCUGUCCAUAGAUGAUGAAUACAUCCUUGGUCAGAGGGCAAUCCAUCUUGCCGUGUCCCCUGGCCCUGCCCUGUGCUCCCUGGCAUUGCCACUGCCGCCCAGCUGGCAUUCAAUGGACAGCACACUGACAGAGCAUAUUUUUCAAAAACGGUUCCUUUCCGAUAAAUCUGUUGAAAUUUUAACAACAGUGAUUCUUCAGACAUCUGUUUUUUCUGCUACCUCUGUUAGUACAUAACAUAUGAGAAAACUGGAAAGGAGACCUCUUAGAGAAGUCACCUUAGGACUAAAGUUGUGCUGAAACACUCUCCCAAACUGGAGCUGCAAUCAGUGACCCUGCAAUUAACUUGUGCUUUGGCCACUCACUGCCAUCCUGUUGGAGGUUCCGCAAGUCUGAAGAGGAGAAGCUGAGGUGACUGUAAAGGAUAAACAGCAGCAAAGAGCAGAACGAGGUGAGGAGAGA
rnacentral:lncRNA from 13 species